ACGUGCCCUGGAGUGGGGGAUAACUAGUCGAAAGAUUAGCUAAUACCGCAUACGAUCUAUGGAUGAAAGUGGGGGAUCGCAAGACCUCAUGCUCGUGGAGCGGCCGAUAUCUGAUUAGCUAGUUGGUGGGGUAAAGGCCUACCAAGGCAUCGAUCAGUAGCUGGUCUGAGAGGACGACCAGCCACACUGGGACUGAGACACGGCCCAGACUCCUACGGGAGGCAGCAGUGGGGAAUUUUGGACAAUGGGCGCAAGCCUGAUCCAGCAAUGCCGCGUGAGUGAAGAAGGCCUUCGGGUUGUAAAGCUCUUUUGUCAGGGAAGAAACGGUGGAGGUUAAUACCUUCUGCUAAUGACGGUACCUGAAGAAUAAGCACCGGCUAACUACGUGCCAGCAGCCGCGGUAAUACGUAGGGUGCAAGCGUUAAUCGGAAUUACUGGGCGUAAAGCGUGCGCAGGCGGUUGUGCAAGACAGAUGUGAAAUCCCCGGGCUCAACCUGGGAAUUGCAUUUGUGACUGUACGGCUAGAGUGUGUCAGAGGGGGGUAGAAUUCCACGUGUAGCAGUGAAAUGCGUANAGAUGUGGAGGAAUACCGAUGGCGAAGGCAGCCUCCUGGGAUAACACUGACGCUCAUGCACGAAAGCGUGGGGAGCAAA
rnacentral:rRNA from 1 species